CCUACGGGAGGCAGCAGUGGGGAAUAUUGCACAAUGGGGGAAACCCUGAUGCAGCGACGCCGCGUGAGUGAAGAAGUAUUUCGGUACGUAAAGCUCUAUCAGCAGGGAAGAAAAUGACGGUACCUGACUAAGAAGCCCCGGCUAACUACGUGCCAGCAGCCGCGGUAAUACGUAGGGGGCAAGCGUUAUCCGGAUUUACUGGGUGUAAAGGGAGCGUAGACGGCAGCGCAAGUCUGGAGUGAAAUCCCAUGGCUUAACCAUGGAACUGCUUUGGCAACUGUGCAGCUAGAGUGCAGGAGAGGUAAGCGGAAUUCCUAGUGUAGCGGUGAAAUGCGUAGAUAGUAGGAGGAACACCAGUGGCGAAGGCGGCUUACUGGACUGUAACUGACGUUGAGGCUCGAAAGCGUGGGGAGCAAACAGGAUUAGAUACCCGUGUAGUC
rnacentral:rRNA from 1 species